rnacentral:lncRNA from 1 species
GACAGUGGCCCGUCGGCCCUGUGCGCCGUGGCCAAGUCAGAUGGUCCUGUUGAAGAGACAACUCGUAGGGGCUUGAUACAAAAACCAUCUGUCGGUAAUCACACUUCAAAAUCUUGCUUCGAUGGAUCUAGCGCAAGCGAUUUUGCACGACACCUACGGACGUCUUAUCCAGAACUGGUUAGUGCAGGCCAUGUUUUGACUCCGCAGUUCUAGAAAUUAUUGAUGUCCUGACUGACGGGUAGUAAAAAUCCAAGCAGGCACUUUCGACCAUCCCCGUCAUCCUGAAAGAGCACAAUGCUCC